UGGAGAAUUUUGGACAAUGGGCGAAAGCCUGAUCCAGCAAUGCCGCGUGUGUGAAGAAGGCCUUCGGGUUGUAAAGCACUUUUGUCCGGAAAGAAAUCCUUGGCUCUAAUACAGUCGGGGGAUGACGGUACCGGAAGAAUAAGCACCGGCUAACUACGUGCCAGCAGCCGCGGUAAUACGUAGGGUGCAAGCGUUAAUCGGAAUUACUGGGCGUAAAGCGUGCGCAGGCGGUUUGCUAAGACCGAUGUGAAAUCCCCGGGCUCAACCUGGGAACUGCAUUGGUGACUGGCAGGCUAGAGUAUGGCAGAGGGGGGUAGAAUUCCACGUGUAGCAGUGAAAUGCGUAGAGAUGUGGAGGAAUACCGAUGGCGAAGGCAGCCCCCUGGGCCAAUACUGACGCUCAUGCACGAAAGCGUGGGGAGCAAACAGGAUUAGAUACCCUGGUAGUCCACGCCCUAAACGAUGUCAACUAGUUGUUGGGGAUUCAUUUCCUUAGUAACGUAGCUAACGCGUGAAGUUGACCGCCUGGGGAGUACGGUCGCAAGAUUAAAACUUAAAGGAAUUGAC
rnacentral:rRNA from 1 species